UUAUGCAUGCAAGUCGAGCGAAGCUUUUCAGUAGUUUACUACAGAAAAUGACUGAGCGGCGAACGGGUGAGUAACGCGUGAGCAACCUACCUUAGUUACUGGGAUAGCCCGAGGAAACUCGGAUUAAUACCGGAUAUUCUUAUUUAAUCACAUGAUUUUUUAAGGAAAGGUCAGCCGAACUAAGAUGGGCUCGCGUUCUAUCAGCUAGUUGGUAGGGUAAUGGCCUACCAAGGCUACGACGGAUAGCUGGUCUGAGAGGACGAUCAGCCACACUGGGACUGAGACACGGCCCAGACUCCUACGGGAGGCUGCAGCAGGGAAUAUUGCGCAAUGAGCGAAAGCUUGACGCAGCGACACCGCGUGUGGGAUGACGGAUCUAGGUUUGUAAACCACUUUCAGGAGGGAAGAAAAUGACGGUACCUCCAC
rnacentral:rRNA from 1 species